CUUACAGAAAAUUUAGGAAAAAUGAGUUGGCAUUGAAUUGGACAUUCUUUAGCAACGUCAUCCUAAUACAGGAACUUGCUAACUUUUUCACAGUGGUUAUGGUCUUGAACGGGAACAACAACUUGUUUCUCCAGUUUUUCCUUCACAUGAUCUGACACAUUUUCUGUGUGCAAAUGCGCAAAAGAGGCCUUGGAGGAGAGGAUCAACAGCUGCACGGCAGAGGAGAUCUAGCCUGGCUUGGUGGUGGAUGGAUAAACAUGGAUCCACUGGACACACGGAAUCAGAACAAAAGUUUAUCUCCUUGUAUAACCUCCUCGUUAUAAUUACUGAACAAAAUAACAGCAAUAAGACACGACAAAAGUUGAAAAUGAGUGCUUGCUGCAGGGACUGCUGUGCAUUUUCUGACCCAUUCACAGGUUAG
rnacentral:lncRNA from 1 species